rnacentral:rRNA from 1 species
CAUGUCCUUUUGUUAAUAAUAUAAGGUUUGACCUGCUCAAUGAAAUUUAAAUAGCCGCAGUAUUUUGACUGUGCAAAGGUAGCAUAAUAAUUAGUUUCUUAAUUAGGAACUGGAAUGAAAGGUUGGACAAGAAAAUUACUGUCUCUUUUUUAAUAUUUUUGAAUUUUAUUUUUAAGUGAAAAAGCUUAAAUUUAUAUAAAAGACGAGAAGACCCUAUAGAGUUUAAUAUUUUUUUAAGAUAAAAUGUUAGAAUAUUAAUUUUUAAAAGAAGUAUUUGAUUGGGGUGAUUGAGAGAAAAGUAUAAUUCUUUUAAAAAUUAGUUGAUAAUUUUCAAUUUCUAGAUCUAUAAUUUAUAAAAUUAAAAUAAAUUACCUUAGGGAUAACAGCGUAAUUUUUCUUUAAAGUUCUUAUUAAAAGGAAAGUUUGCGACCUCGAUGUUGGAUUAAAAUUAAUUUUUGGUGCAGUAACUUAAAAAUUGGGUCUGUUCGACCUUUAAAAUUUUACAUGAUCUGAGUUUAAACCGGUGUGAGCCAGGUUGGAUUCUAUCUUUAGAAAAGUUUUAUAUUUUAGUACGAAAGGACCAGAUAUAAGUUAAAUUAAUUGU